AGAUUCACAAAAACCAAAAGCUCGCCUCGCCUGUGAAACACUUUGCGCUCUCAAAUCUCGUUUACCUACUCUCGCUUUCUCUCUUAAAUCCACACCCAGCACUACUUUCUUCUUCUCAGCUGUUCCGUUCCCCUGAAAUGCUGAAUCUUGUGCACGCCCAUUUCUGAAAUCCCCCUAACAUAGGACAAUUUCUUGAUCUUCUGCACGCACAAUCAGCCAUGGAUAAACGUGGGGUUCGGGAAUGAAACCUUUAAGAUUAGAGGCAAUGUGUGGAAAUUUCAGAGUCUUAUAAUGGUGGCUGCCAUUUCUGAAGCAGCUUCGACUGGCCCACUGAGCACCAAGGCUUCCUCGACCCACCAAAACCCAUCGAGGCCUCCACUAUUACCUUCAGAGAAAGACAAUGGGACUCUUCCGAGAAGACCCAAGGGUAGGCAGGUUUCUUCCAGGUACAUGUCUCCUUCUCCAUCGACUUCUACUUCCACUUCAACCUCUUCUUCGUCUUCAUCUAGGAGAUGCCCCUCUCCCCUCCUAUCACGUUCCAUCAAUUCCACACCCUCAUCGACCCCUUUACCCUCUACGGUGCCCAAGCGGUCCCAAUCAGUGGACCGUAGGCGACCGGCGACUCCGACAAGGCCUAUAACGCCUCUCCUACGGCAAGGUAAUUCCGGUGAUGUGUCGGUGGCUACGAAGCUUCUGGUCACUUCUACGCGGAGCUUGUCGGUUUCCUUCCAAGGGGAGGCGUUUUCGCUUCCGAUUAGUAAGACAAAGGCAGCGACACCCACUUCGAGUAAUGCCAGGAAGCCGGCAACGCCAGAGCGGCGGAGGUCGCCUGCAGUUAGAGGUAAGAUUGAUGGAGGAGGAGAUCAAGUCGAGAACUCGAGACCCAUGGAGCAACAUCGAUGGCCGGCUCGGGCCCGGCAGUCAAAUUCGAGUUCCAAUCACUUGUCAAGGAGCAUGGAUUUCAGUGGUGAUAAGAAGCUUGUUGGAAACGGGUUUGGAAAAGUGGUACGGGCGUUGCAGCAAUCAAUGAUUGGUGAUGGUAGAAGGGCAUCUUUUGAUGGGCGAUUGAGUUUGGAUUUAGGUAAAGAUGAGUCAUUGAAGGAUGCUCAGCGGAGCUCAGAUGUAAAUUCAGCAAAUGAUUCUUCGUUGCCUUCUGAUCUCACUGCAUCCGAUACAGACAGUGUUUCCUCUGGUAGCACUUCAGGAGCACAAGAUUGUGUUGGAGCUGGCAAGGGUCGACCUCGUGGCAUUGCUGUGUCUGCGAGGUUUUGGCAAGAGACUAAUAGUCGGCUGCGCCGUUUGCAGGAUCCUGGUUCACCAUUAUCAACAAGCCCUGCCUCAAGAGUGGCAGCUCCUUCAAAGGUUAUUCAAUCCAAGAAGUUCACUAGUGAUGGCCCGCUAUCAUCCCCCCGAACUAUGGCUUCCCCAAUUAGGGGAACUGCUCGUCCUGCAUCUCCAAGUAGACCGUGGGCAUCUACAGUCUCAUCACCAUCAAGGGGAAUCUCUAGUCCAUCUCGGGUGAGAAGUGCAGUUGCCAGCUCCAUCAAUAGUAAUUCUUCAAAUCCACCUUCAAUUCUUAGUUUUUCAGUUGAUAUCCGGAGGGGAAAGAUAGGGGAGGAUCGAAUAUUUGAUGCACACUCUUUACGGAUUCUGUAUAACCGAUAUGUGCAGUGGCGGUUUGCCAAUGCAAGGGCAGAUGCUACCUUUAUGGUGCAGAAACUAAAUGCGGAGAGGCAUUUAUGGAAUGCAUGGGUAACAAUAUCAGAACUUCGGCAUGCAGUCAUACUUAAACGAAUCAAGUUACUAUUGCUGAGGCAAAAGUUGAAGCUAACUUCCAUCCUGAAGGGACAAAUUCCUUAUUUGGAAGAGUGGGCCCUUCUUGAAAGAGAACACUCCAGUUCUUUGCUUGGAGCAACUGAAGCUUUGAAGGCCAGCACCCUCCGUCUUCCUGUUGUUGAAAAAGCAAUAGCCGAUGUACCAAAUCUGAAGGAUGCUGUGGGGACAGCAGUUGAUGUCAUGCAAGCAAUGUCAUCCUCAAUUUAUUCUCUUUCAUCGAAGGUAAACUUAGUUUCUUUUCUUCGCCUUUUCUUCCUAAUGUGCUCCUUCAGUACAGGGCAUGUGUUUCUAUCAAUUGUCAAUCUAAGAUGUGGAAAUCAGGUUAUGGCAAAGCUGAUUUUGUAUUGUGGAAGAAACUAACACCCUGAUGGCAGAACUUGUAAAGGUGACUGCAAAAGAAAGGCUUCUGCUUGAACAAUGCAAGGAUUUUUUGUCAUCUUUAGAAUCUAUGCAGGUCAGGGAUUGUACCUUGAGAACACAUAUAUUACAACUCUGUCGUGUUCGGACUGCCAGCUGCCGCCUGAUAACACGUGUGUACAACUGAUCUUUCUUGACUUCUCACUCUUACUGCUAACACUACCUACCCUGCUUUUUAACUUCCCACGGAUGAAGAUGACACAGAAGGUAACGAGAAUGGAAUACGGAGCUGAUAGCUAGCUGGAUUUUGAUUUUCUGUGUUGACAUAUUUUUGAACCUGAUGUGUUCUUGUUAAAUGUCGUGUAGUAUAUGUUGUGUAUGAAUAUGAUCACAGAAAAAGAAAAAAUGUGGCUUUUUUUGUUCUUUUUAUUUGACUAGGUAGCUGUAAGCAAUUCGCUUGGUUUAUGUAUAUGUAUAUAAUCAACUAACCAUUUGUUCAUCAGGUAAAUUUGUGGCUAAGAUCCUUCAUUUGAACACCA